rnacentral:lncRNA from 1 species
GACAAAUGACCAUUUGACACUAACUUGGUCAACGGUGAUCCCUAAUAACAUUGAGGGAGUUCUCAUUACUUUCUUUGUCUUUGUUUUAUAUUUUCAAUUUUUUUUUUCAUUUGAAUAAAAUGGUAGACUUAGAUAAAAUAUUCUUUGGAUCAUUACAUUAAUUAAAAUUCUAUCUAGGACAUUGGAACUUAAGUGGGACCAUCUGUGACCCCUCCUAUCUUUC